GCCGCGUUGGCGUAGUGGUAGCGCGUCUCACUUGUAAGCACCUGGUGCUAAGCAAUGAGAAGGUCAUUCGUUCAAUCCGGGUACGUGGCA